UUUUUUUCUGUCAAUUUUUUGUCGACUUCAUGGGCCAAGCCCAACGUUGCAGUCUUUUUUAUUGUUGGGCCGUGGCCUUUUUGUCUAAAUAGUUUUAUUUUUCUUUUUUAUUAAAUGGGUCCACUAGUCAAAUGGGUCCCAGUGCAUGUAAUAGUUUAACUCAUGUUAACUAGCAGUAACCUUCACAAGACAGCCUCAAACGAACCAUCAAGUCAACUCAUGUUUACAGCUAACAGCAGCAAGUGUAUGUAUUUGUUUAACUCAUGUUAACUAACAGUAACCUUCACAAGACAGCCUCAAACGAACCAUCAAAUCAACUCAUCAUACAACACAUUUACAGCUAACAGCAGCAAUACAUCAUACAUCACAGAGAACGGUUCACAAAAACUGACAAACUAAACUAGAGGCACAUCAUAAGCUCACAAGCAUGGCUGCCGCAGUAGUUUGUUUCGCCAGUAAAGACAGCGACUUUCUUCCUCGACCAGACAACAGCCCAGCUCACAUCCUCUACCUCCUCACAGGAGGCGCGCCACCUCGUCUCCUUCAACAGGGGGAUCACCACCACGUCCACCAGCAGCCUGCAUGAAUCAAAACAUGAAAAGAGCAACAUCUAAUUAACUUGAUUGCCUUGCAGAUGACACACAAGAUGAAGAGCACUUGGACAGAAGCUACUAUACUUGUGGCUGUAAUUAACCUAACCUAAUCUAAUGGGAACAACAUCACAAUUCACAAGCAAGCACCCAUACUCUCAAAUUCAGUAUACAGUUGCCAACUGAAAUAAGUUCAGUUGAAAGUAGAGCAGAGAACAAGAAGGAUCAGCAGAGAGCUCACCAUGGCUGUCAUGUGGCCGACGUGGAAGAGGCAGCAUGUCCGUCCAAGCAGGAUCAGCAGCGCCAGCGGACGGGCCACUCAUUGUCCUGGAUCUUUGCC
rnacentral:lncRNA from 1 species